rnacentral:rRNA from 1 species
ACUCAAAUGAAUAGACGGGGGCCCGCACAAGCGGUGGAGCAUGUGGUUUAAUUCGACGCAACGCGAAGAACCUUACCUGGGCUCGAACGGCUUCGGACGGCUGGUGGAAACACCGGCGUUCCCGCAAGGGACCGGAGUCGAGGUGCUGCAUGGCUGUCGUCAGCUCGUGUCGUGAGAUGUUGGGUUAAGUCCCGCAACGAGCGCAACCCUUGUCCUGUGUUGCCAACCCGAAAGGGUGCACUCUCAGGAGACCGCCAGCGAUAAGUUGGAGGAAGGUGGGGAUGACGUCAAGUCAUCAUGGCCUUUAUGUCCAGGGCUACACACGUGCUACAAUGGGCGGUACAAAGCGCCGCGAACCCGCGAGGGGGAGCCAAUCGCCAAAAACCGCUCUCAGUUCGGAUUGCAGGCUGCAACUCGCCUGCAUGAAGCUGGAAUCGCUAGUAAUGGCACAUCAGAACGGUGCCGUGAAUACGUUCCCGGGCCUUGUACACACCGCCCGU